CGUCGCGGCGCGGGCGUCGCCGGCGCGCGUGGGGCCGGCGCCGGCAGUACGCUGGGGCGCGUCGUGGAGCUCGGUGGUGGCGCGGGCGCCGGGCGCGGCGCUGGCGCCCAUCGGCUCGGACGUGCGGCGCCGCGCGGAGCCAGAGCGGGCGCUGAGCGGCGCGGGCGACCACUCGCUGUUCUACUUCAACGGCGACGCGUCGCACGCGUGCCGCGACUCGGACUUCUCGUGGCGCCCGCCGCCGCCGCCCGACCGCCCCGCCUUCACGCCCGCCAGAGACUUCCUCGCCCCGGGCGAGGAGCGCGCAGCGGACGGCGGCGGGCUGCGCUCGCUGGGCUCGGUGUGGGGCUCGGCGCUGGAGCCGCGGCCGGCGGCGGCGGCGUGGCUGUGGGGCGGCUACGCCGAGCCGGCGCCGGCGCUGGCGGGCGUGCGGCCGCCGCCCGGCUUCGGCGCGCCGCGGCCCGUGCGGCCCUACGACCCCUUCCGCUCGCUGGCGUCCAUCUGGGCGCCCGGCGCCCUCGACUGGCGCCCCGAGCCCGAGCCCGAGCCCGAACACUAGUCAUCGCCGCACUUCCCUACGACAUUGUCUGUUCAAGACUGAAUUAAACUUACACUAUCUCAAAUGAAUGAUGAACACUAA